rnacentral:rRNA from 1 species
AGAGUGCACGGUGGAUGCCUUGGCACUAGGAGCCGAUGAAGGACGCGACGAACAGCGAAAUGCUGCGGGGAGAUGUAAGUAAUCUAAGAUCCGCAGGUAUCCGAAUGAGGAAACUCACUAGCUUGAAGAGCUAGUACCAUAUGGUGAAUACAUAGCCAUAUAGGAGGAAGACCCAGAGAAUUGAAACAUCUUAGUAUCUGGAGGAAAAGAAAGCAAUUAGCGAUUCCCUAAGUAGAGGCGAUUGAACGGGGAGCAGCCCGUUACCAUUAGGAGUUACAAAAUUUUAAUAUAGUCGAACUAGCUUGGAAAACUAGACGAAACAAGGUGAAAGUCCUGUAGACGAAAUAUUAAGAUCUCCGGUAACAAAGAGUAGGGCGGGGCACGUGGAAUCCUGUCUGAAUAUGCGAGGACCAUCUCGUAAGGCUAAAUACUACCUAGUGACCGAUAGUGAACCAGUACUGUGAAGGAAAGGUGAAAAGAACCCCUGGCGGGGAGUGAAAAGAACCUGAAACCGUGUACUUACAAUUAGUCAAAGCCCGUUAAUGGGUGAUGGCGUGCCUUUUGUAGAAUGAACCGGCGAGUUACGAUAAUUUGCAAGGUUAAGCUUUAAGGAGCGGAGCCGUAGCGAAAGCGAGUCUUAAUAGGGCGAACAUAUAGUAGAUUGUCGUAGACCCGAAACCGGGUGAUCUAGCCAUGUGCAGGUUGAAGCUUGGGUAAAACCAGGUGGAGGACCGAACCAGGGUCUGUUGCAAUAGACUUGGAUGACGUGUGGCUAGGGGUGAAAUUCCAAUCGAACCCGGAUAUAGCUGGUUCUCCCCGAAAUAGCUUUAGGGCUAGCGUUGUAAUGAAAGUUUUUUGAAGGUAGAGCUCUGAAUGUGUGAGGGCCUCACCUCGAGGUACCAAGCUCAAUUAAACUUCGAAUGUCAUAAAACAUGUACAGCAGUCAGACUGUGAGUGAUAAGGCCCAUAGUCAAAAGGGAAACAGCCCAGACCGCCAGUUAAGGUCCCGAAAUCUAUGCUAAGUGGGAAAGGAUGUGGAGUCGUAUAAACAACUAGGAGGUUGGCUUAGAAGCAGCCACCCUUUAAAGAGUGCGUAAUAGCUCACUAGUCGAAUGAUUCUGCGCCGAAAAUGUAUCGGGGCUAAGCAUAGUACCGAAACUGCGGAACAAGCCGUGUGGCUUGUUGGUAGGGGAGCGUACUUAGUGCAUUGAAGGUAGACCGGAAGGACUACUGGAGCGCUAAGCAGUGAGAAUGCCGGUGUGAGUAACGAAAAGAUAGGUGAGAAUCCUAUCCGUCGAAAGCCUAAGGUUUCCAGAGGAAGGUUCGUCCUCUCUGGGUAAGUCGGGUCCUAAGGUGAGGCUGACAAGCGUAGCCGAUGGACAACAGGUUGAUAUUCCUGUACCACCUAAUUAACUGAUGGAAUGACGAAGAAGGCUAACUGGAGCUACUUAGUGGAUUGUAGUUUAAGCAUAAAGGUGGGUAUGUAGGUAAAUCCGCAUACUAUUAAACAUUGAAAUGUGAUGACGUAAGUCUGGUGAAGCCAAACUUCCAAGAAAAGUUUCUAAGGCUAAUUAAUUAGGUGCCCGUACCGCAAACGGACACACGUAGGCGAGGAGAGAAUCCAAAGACGCGCGAGAUAACUCUUGUUAAGGAACUCUGCAAAAUUACCCCGUAACUUCGGAAUAAGGGGGACUCUUUAGCGAUAAAGAGUCGCAGAUAAUAGGCCCAAGCGACUGUUUACCAAAAACACAGGUCUCUGCUAAACCGUAAGGUGAAGUAUAGGGGCUGACGCCUGCCCAGUGCUGGAAGGUUAAGAGGAGAUGUUAGCGACGCAAGUUGCGAAGCUUUGAAUUGAAGCCCCAGUAAACGGCGGCCGUAACUAUAACGGUCCUAAGGUAGCGAAAUUCCUUGUCGGGUAAGUUCCGACCCGCACGAAAGGCGUAACGAUUUGGGCGCUGUCUCAACUCGAGACUCGGUGAAAUCAUACUACCUGUGAAGAUGCAGGUUACCCGCGACUAGACGGAAAGACCCCAUGGAGCUUCACUGCAACUUGAUAUUGAUAUUGGGUAUUGGAUGUACAGGAUAGGUGGGAGACGUUGAUGUUGGGACGCUAGUCUCAGCGGAGUCACCGUUGGGAUACCACCCUUCUAAUACUUAGUAUCUAACUAGUAGCCAGGAAUCGGGCUAGAGGACAGUGUCAGGCGGGCAGUUUGACUGGGGCGGUCGCCUCCUAAAGAGUAACGGAGGCGCCCAAAGGUUCGCUCAGAAUGGUUGGAAAUCAUUCGUAGAGUGUAAAGGCAGAAGCGAGCUUGACUGUGAGACCUACAAGUCGAACAGGAACGAAAGUUGGGCUUAGUGAACCGGCUGUGCUGAAUGGAAAGGCAGUCGAUCAACGGAUAAAAGCUACCCUGGGGAUAACAGGCUGAUCUCCCCCAAGAGUUCACAUCGACGGGGAGGUUUGGCACCUCGAUGUCGGCUCAUCGCAUCCUGGGGCUGGAGCAGGUCCCAAGGGUUGGGCUGUUCGCCCAUUAAAGCGGUACGUGAGCUGGGUUCAGAACGUCGCGAGACAGUUCGGUCCCUAUCUGUCGUGGGCGCUGGAAAUUUGAGAGGAGCUACUCCUAGUACGAGAGGACCGGAGUGGACGCACCGCUGGCGUACCAGUUGGCUUGCCAGAGCCACAGCUGGGUAACUAUGUGCGGACGGGAUAAACGCUGAAAGCAUCUAAGCGUGAAGCCCCCCUCAAGAUGAGAUUUCCCAUUCGAAAGAAGUAAGAUCCCUCAUAGAUGAUGAGGUUGAUAGGUCAGGUGUGUAAGCAUGGUGACAUGUUGAGCUGACUGAUACUAAUAGAUCGAGGACUUAACCUU